AGUGACAAUAUCCGUCGUCAAAAGGAGAACAAUCCAGACCACCAGCUAAGGUCCCGAAUCUACGCUUAGUUCGAAAGGAAGUCAGAUUGCAGUGACAGCCGGGAUGUUGGCUUAGAAGCAGCCAUCAUUUAAAGAGUGCGUAACAGCUCACCGGUCGAGGAGUCUGGCGCCGAUAAUGAUCGGGAAUAAGCGUGGAGCCGAAGCUGUGGGCCCAGCAGCAAUGCUGGGCGGUAGGAGAGCGUAGUUGAUGCUGUGAAGCGGCUCGGGAACGGGUCGUGGAGCGUCCACUAGUGCAUAUGCCGGCUUAAGUAACGAUUAACACGGUGAAAAUCCGUGUCGCCGAAUGCCUAAGGUUUCCUGGGGAAGGUAAAUCCGCCCAGGGUUAGCCGGGUCCUAAGGUGAGGCCGAAAGGCGUAGCCGAUGGAAAUCAGGUCAAUAUUCCUGAGCCAAUGCCCAAUAUGGUGACGGAUCUCCAAGAUCUGCGGGACUGCUAGAUGUCCAGGCCCUCGAGGCCGAUGCAGGUGGAGGAGGUCACGAGAAAAGCCGGGCGUGCCCGUACUAAAACUGACACAGGUAGGCGAGGCGAAUAGCCUCAGGCGCUCGAGAGAACGGUCGUGAAGGAACUAGGCAAUUUAACCCCGUACGUUCGCAAGAAGGGGGCCCUCGUCGUCAGACAGGGCGCAGAGAAAAGGGUCUGGGAACUGUUUAUCAAAAACACAGCUCUGUGCUAACUCGGAAGAGGAUGUAUACAGAGUGACGCUUGCUCAAUGCCGGAAUGUCACGGAAGCGGGUCAUCGCAAGAGAAGCCCGCGACUCAAGCACCGGUGAAUAGCGGCCGUAACUAUGACGGUCCUAAGGUAGCGAAGUUCCUUGUCGGGUAAGUUCCGACGCGCAUGAAUAGCGUAAUCACUGGACUCCUGUCUCCACGACCGACUCGGUGAAAUAGUAGUGGCGGUGAAGAUGCCGCCUACCCGCAGCAAGACGGAAAGACCCCGUGGACCUUUACUAUAGGCUCCUAUUGACCACGAGCAUAUUCUGCGUAGCAUAGGUGGGAGGCUUUGACGACCGGGUUCCGGCCCGGUAAGAGCCACAGGUGAAAUACCACCCUGAGUAAGUUUGUGGCCUAACCUCGAUUCCCAUGAAUCUGGGCGAGAGACAGUGCGUGUCGGGUAGUUUGACUGGGGCGGUCUCCUCCAAAAGAGUAACGGAGGAGCGCAAAGGUCGGCUCAGCACGGAUGGAAACCGUGACGAGUGCAA
rnacentral:rRNA from 1 species